UUGAAUUCAUAGAUGAGAGUUUUUUUCGAAAUUGGUUUCUUGGUGCAGAAUCCGAGGUUGGUGAGUAAGACGGAAAGACCCCGAGAGCUUGGAUUGAUUUUUUACCUGGGGAGGGGGUAUAUAGUUCAUGUAUUUUAGGAUCCUGGGAGGAUCGUAGGUGUAAGUUACCUCGGGGAUAACUAGGUAAUAGGCAAGGAGAGGUCCUAUCGAUUUGUUUGUUUGCUAUCUCGAUGUUGGUUUGGGGUAACAAGAAGGCGCAGCAGCCUUCUUGUGGGGUCUGUUCGACCAUAGUUCCCCAUGAGCUGA
rnacentral:rRNA from 1 species